rnacentral:piRNA from 1 species
UGAUCCUUUGCUAAGGUAUUGUGUGUGGGA